GAUCCGGCUCAGGAUGAACGCUAGCUACAGGCUUAACACAUGCAAGUCGAGGGGCAGCAUGGUCUUAGCUUGCUAAGGCUGAUGGCGACCGGCGCACGGGCGAGUAACACGUAUCCAACCUGCCGUCUACUCUUGGGCCAGCCUUCUGAAAGGAAGAUUAAUCCAGGAUGGGAUCAUGAGUUCACAUGUCCGCAUGAUUAAAGGUAUUUUCCGGUAGACGAUGGGGAUGCG
rnacentral:rRNA from 1 species